rnacentral:snRNA from 1 species
GUGCUCGCUUCGCCAGCACAUAUAUUAAAAUUGGAAUGAUACAGAGAUUAGCAUGGCCCCGGCACAAGGAUGACAUACAAAUUCAUGAAGUGUUCAUAUUUUUU